rnacentral:misc_RNA from 1 species
GCUUUGAAAACAUAGUGUUCAUUUAUUUUCACUGCUAUGCCCUUAACAGAAUAUGACAUAUACUAGCGUGAUGCAAAAAUAUGAUAUAUACUAGUUUGAUGCAAAAAACUUUCCUUUUUUAAUCAAGUAGAUGGUAUUUAUUUCUAUACAAGCAAUGCAAUCUCAAGACAAGUGAAAUAAAUAAAUAGUCAUCAAAUUUUGUGAACAACCUAAGAUUGAGAGCCAACAAUUCCAGAUCAGCCAGCAAAAUUGUAAAGGCAAUGAAACAUUAAUUAGAGAUGCAAGAACAGAUAUAAGUUAAAAAGUUUAAUUAGUAAAACCUUUUUCUUCAU